CUUGGGUCCCUGCCCAGAGACUCCAGCCCUACGUCCCCCCCCGGACCCCCCCGGGGGGCCCGCGGGCUCGGGGAGUCCGGCCAGAGGCCUGUGACCCGUCGGCGGUGACACGUCCACCCUGUGGACCACGGGGUCAGGCGCGCCUCCCCAAGACUCACAACGACGAGAACUACGUCUAAGAGCGCAGCUCACCUGCACACUUCACGUUCCGACUUUCAGGCGCCGUGACCCGCCGUCCGACCUCGGGCAAGUUACUCAGACUCGUCUGCCAGGGCCGCGUGGACGCCCGCCGCCCCUGCCCGUGCAGGGCUCUGCGGGGUGAGGGCCCGUGCGCGCUCGUGCCCGGCGCACAGGGACCCCGCGCGCACGCGCUGGAGAGAGCGCGCAGAGAGGGGGACGGAGUGGGGGUGCACCGGGACCCCUCCAGUGCAGGGGGCAGCGCACAGCUGAGUGCAGGGAGACUUGAGUCCCGCCUCUGGCUCUGUUCAGCCUGCAGCAGGUUCAACUCUGGCCUCAGUUGGCUCAUCUGCAAAACAGGGGUAAGAAUCAGGCCUCCUCGGACAUUUCCAUGACAGUCAGGGGAUGCCUGGCACACACGUGGUGAUCAACCCGGUAUUUUCCCACCCAGCCGGACCGUCAGCAUUCCUCGGGUCUCGGCCAGCUUCUCCUCUGGUCUGCUGUGCUCCUCCCUGGAUCAGCCUCAGUGAUCUUCAUGGUUCAAAGCCCGCGUCUGUCCACAGCCAGUCCCGCGUCGCCACCUCCCGGCCCCCCUGCCGGGUCAUCACCUCUAAGACAGCUCUGCCUUUUCAAUAAGGUCUGUGGUAAAGUGUGGAUCAAAUAACGUGCAGUUAGGACAGAGUAUUAAAACCGUGAGUGACUGAUGGAAGCAAAGAGGAGGAGGGGGUGGGGGAGGGGGAAGAGGGGAGAGGAGGGGGAGGGGAGGGGAGGGGAACAGAAGAAGAGGAAGGCAGAAGGCAGAGUGUGUUAGGGCGGAUUCAGGGGGGUGUCUGCUGUAACCACUCAAGGGACACAGCUGAGAGGGGCUGUGAGUCAGCAGCGGGGGUGAUGUCACAAGGCGUCCUCGGGGCUCCCUGGGGAAUGGCGCAGUGAGCACAGAGCCAGGGAGGCUGUCCUGCUCUCGGAGGGAGGGGAUCCCGGGACAGGAGGGUCCGAAGCAGACGAGGCCCCGAGGUGUCAGGGGCUCGGCCUUGCCCGGCCUCCUGGCUGUCACCCUCAGGUAGGUUCCAGGGACGGGAAAGGAGGGGACAGCUCCAGCUGGGUUCUGGGCCCUGGCCGGUUCCGGGGUGCUGGGGCUGCAGGGCAGGGCGCCGCGUGCCCGGGCUGGCCCUGCGCUCUGUCCGCAGGACCGGACUGUCGUGCUGUGCGCGGCCCGGCCACACCCAGCCCGACGGCGGGCUCAGAAUCGGUGCUCCGUAACACGGAAAGGCCAAAGCGGCUCUCCGUUCGGAAGAAACCAUUCGAAGUAACCUGAAGAUUCCCUGCAUUUUCUUUCCUCUCUCCCUCUCGAGGAGGAGGGCGUGCUGAUGAGCACGGACGGACGUUCCAAGGUCCACAGACAAGAACCGGGAGGAGGGACCGCCGCCCCAGUCCUCACACGCCCUCGCGGUUUGCUCGUGCCAUUUGCACGGCCGUCCCUUUUCCAUCUUUGUGAACUUCAAACAGAAGCCAAGUUUUCCCUCUUUCCCCGUGUGUUUCCCGGAGCGCUUCUCCACGUGGCCAGAGAGGUUCCCUCGCUAUCAUCUGAGUGGCCGAGGCGGUUCCCGUGCUGGCACUGCGUUUCCCUGCUCCAGCACCACUGUCGGAGGGGGACCCCGGGCCGGAGGGUGUGGACGCCAGCUUCAGCCCCUCCACGGCCGGGGCCCGCGUGAGCCUCUGUGGCGCCAAACUCGGGGCCUCCCUCGGAGGCGAGCCACCCCGCCGGCCUCCGCACACAGGAGGCCUCUCCCCCGUGUGGUUUGCAAGAGCGGCGGGAAGGGGCUUGAAUCUGGUGGGGCUGCCGGCUGCCCGAUGGGCAGGAGGCGGACGCUGCCCCCACCGGGAUGACACCGGGUGGGGGGCGUCCCCGCAGCACGCAGGAGUCCCAUCCGGGUCCUUCCACCCACCCUGCAAAUGUCACUGUCCCUUGAAUUGCUGGAGUCAGGUUCCCAAGGUGCCUUGGAUGGGGAGCUCCUUUGACGGGACAAUGUCACUCGGGUUGGCAUAGGACAUACGCUCCUCUGAGGACAGAACGUAGAGGCACGCGCCAAGCACAAGGUGUCCUCCCUACAAGGCCGCCGCAGGGUCUCAGGUUCUACCGGAUCCCUGUUGUGAUGGCACGGCGCCUCGCAGCCCCCUGGGGACUGAAGCCGGAUGGAAGCCCCACAGACACCAGCGGCAGGGUGGGCAGAGGGGCCAGUACCACCCGCUGACCUGCUGAGACGCUGUAGCACACGGAGCUCUCCCUGAGCCCAGCUCCCCUCGGUCCACAGGGCUGCUCGCAAACACCCCCGCCCCUCUCCUCAGAGUCCCCAGGACCGAAGCCUCAAGGUCAGGGCGCUUUCUCUCCCCUCGGGUUUCGGGAUCAGGAGCUCUCCUGCCACUCUGCCACUUGCCUCCCUGGCCUUGGAUCCCCUCCCCCAUCCCUCUGUGCCCGACAGGCCAGGGAAGUCCCAAAGCCUCACGUGCACCUUGGCUGGGCUCUCUUUUGAGGGGCGCGGGCCUCCUCGGGGCUCUCCUCCUGCUUGUGCACCGAGGAGCCCAGAGCAGCCCGGGACGCCAUCACUGGGCCAGACCAUCCCUGUCUAACGGUAUGUCCCGCAGCGAUGGAGGUGUUCUAGAUGUGUGCUAUCCCAUCAGAGCCACCGGAGCAUCUGAAGUGUGAUCAGCGAGCGACCAACCCGUCUGCAUUUGUUAUAGCCGCUGAACCAGUGUUGACCCAUCAUCGUCAACCGAAGCCCGUGAUUUACGUCAUGGUUCUACACUGUGUUGUGCGGUUGUGAGUGUGGACAAAUCCGUGUCAUUGAUCCACCGUUAUGGUAUCAUCCAGACGGAGGAGGUUCACCGCCCUACAAAUCAGUGCUGCCACGAUUCGCCCUCCCGUGCUCCACCCGCACCCAGAACCACCACUCUGUGUACUGUCACUGUAAUUCUGCCUUUUCCAGAAGGUCAUACGGUUGCCGUCUUUUUAGACCGGCUUCUUCCAACUUCCCAAUUUACACUGAAGGUACCUCUGUGUCUUUGUGCCUUCGUAGCUCACUUCUUGUAACCGUUGAAUGUCGACCCACGGUGUCGAUCCAUUCACCUACUGAAAGACAUCUGGGUUGCUUCCAAUCUGGGGCAGUUAUGAGUAAAGCUACUGAAACAUUCAUGUACGGGUUUCGUGUGAACAUACUUUUCAAGUCAUGUGGAUAAAAACCUAGGAGUGCAAUCGCUGGCUUGUAGGGUUAAGACUCUCUUUAGAAACCCCCGAACUGUCUUUUAAGAAACUGUCCAACUGUCUUUUGUUGUUGUUGUUGUUAAGAUUUUAUUUUUAGCAACACUCAGCGUGGGGCUCGAACCCACAACCCCGAGAGAUCAAGGGUCACACGCUCCAUUCACUGAGCCAGCCAGCCAGGUGCCCCUGUCAAACUGUCUUUCAACGUGUCAGUGCCGUGUUGCAUCCCCAGCAGAAAUGAAUGAGAGUUUCUGUUGUUCCACACCGCCUGUAGCAUUUGCGGUGUUCUGAUUUGGGCUAGUCUCUGCGUAUGUAGGCACGUGGUGGUAUCUCACUGUCAAUGUGCAUUUCCCCAGUGACUUAGGACGUUGAGCGCCUCUUCAUUUGCUUACUUAUCGUCGGUAGAUCUUCUUUGGUGAGGCGACUCUUCAUAUAUUUUGCCCAUCUUUUAAUUGGGUUGUUUCUUAGAGUUAAGGUUUAAGAGUUAUUUAUAUAUUUUGAAUAAAAGUCCUAUAUGAGAUACGUGUUCUGCCAAUAUUUUCUUCCCCAUCUGUGGCUUGCCUUUUCAUUCUCUUAACGGGGUCUUCUGCAGAGGAAUUUUUGGCUUUGAUGAAGUACACCCUAUCAAUUUUUUCUCUCAGUGUAGCAUGAUUUUGAGGUUUUAUCUAAAAAAAAAUCAUCAAACCCAAAGUCAUCUAGAUUUUCUUUUCCAGAAGUUCUAUAGUUUUGCCGUACUGGCUCUUCUGGGCUGUUUGCCUCUCCAUCCAACUUCUGAAUCACUU